rnacentral:snRNA from 1 species
CUUCCUUGCUAACUUUUCACUUCACAGUUCUUUUCAGUUUAAUCUCUGAAACGUCACUACGGUGACAUUCUAUGAUUAUACUUAUUUUUGGACCUCCGCCGGUGGCCGCUGAGCUUGCUCAUGUCACUGACGACCGUGUCGCCAGUAUUGCACUGCCUCUGGCUGACGCGAAGCUACU